rnacentral:rRNA from 1 species
GACGAACCGUGCAAACGUUAUUCGGAAUCACUGGGCUUAAAGCGUGCGUAGGCGGCUGAGAAAGUUGGGUGUGAAAUCCCUCGGCUCAACCGAGGAAUUGCGCUCAAAACUACUUGGCUUGAGGGAGUUAGAGGUGAGCGGAACUAAUGGUGGAGCGGUGAAAUGCGUUGAUAUCAUUAGGAACACCGGUGGCGAAAGCGGCUCACUGGCUCGUAUCUGACGCUCAGGCGCGACAGCGUGGGGAUCAAACAGG